rfam:Dipodomys ordii contig_2607, whole genome shotgun sequence.
GUGUGUGAAUGAUAACUACUGACGAAAGAGCUACCCACUCAGUUAGUGGUUGGAUGUUGCCACAU